ensembl:misc_RNA Metazoa_SRP Metazoan signal recognition particle RNA
GCCAGUCAUAGUGCUGUGUGCCUGUAGACUCAGCUACUCAGGAGGCUGAGCAGGAAGACUGAUUGAGCCCAGAGCAUCCGGGCUUUAGUGCACUCUGCCAAUAGGAUGUCUCACUAAAUUCAACAUCAAUAUGGUGACCUCUCAGGAGCAGGGGACCAGCAGGUUGCCUAAGGAGGGGUGAUCCAGCCUGGGCCAGAAAUAGAACAGGACAAAACUUCCAUGCUGAUCAGCAGUGGGAUCACAUCUGUGAAUAAUCAUUGCCAGUCUGGACAACAUGGAAAGACCCUAUCUCUA